AGUUAAAUGUUCUUCGUGAACAUAGCGAACUGCUCAGUAACACGUGGAUAACCUACCCUUAGGACCGGAAUAACCCCGGGAAACUGGGGAUAAUACCGGAUAAGCCAUAGACGCUGGAAUGCACUAUGGUUCAAAGCUCCGGCGCCUAAGGAUGGAUCUGCGGUCUAUCAGGUUGUAGUGGGUGUAACGUACCUACUAGCCGACGACGGAUACGGGUUGUGAGAGCAAGAGCCCGGAGAUGGAUUCUGAGACACGAAUCCAGGCCCUACGGGGUGCAGCAGGCGCGAACACUUUACAAUGCGGGAAACCGCGAUAAGGGAACCCCGAGUGCCAGCAUCAAAUGUUGGCUGUCCAGAUGAUUAAAAAUCAUUUGUUAGCAAGGGCCGGGCAAGACCGGUGCCAGCCGCCGCGGUAACACCGGCGGCCCGAGUGGUGAUCACUUUUAUUGGGUCUAAAGGGUCCGUAGCCGGUUUGAUCAGUCUUCUGGGAAAUCUGACAGCUCAACUGUUAGGCUUUCAAGGGAUACUGUUAGACUUGGGACCGGGAGAGGUAAGAGGUACUACGGGGGUAGGAGUGAAAUCUUGUAAUCCCUGUGGGACCACCAGUGGCGAAGGCGUCUUACCAGAACGGGUCCGACGGUGAGGGACGAAAGCUGGGGGCACGAACCGGAUUAGAUACCC
rnacentral:rRNA from 1 species